GAUGAACGCUAGCGAGACGCUUAACACAUGCAAGUCGAAUGCCAACUUGUUGGCAUGGCAGACGGGUGAGUAACACGUGCUUAAUUUGCCCUGGAGUGGGGGACAACAUCGGAAACGGUGAUAAUCCCGCAUACGCUCUGAGAAAUGAAAAUACUCAGAGGAAAGAUUUAUCGCUCUAGGAGAAGGGCGCGGCUGACUAGUUAGUUGGUGAGGUAAUGGCUCACCAAGACGAUGAUCAGUAGCUGGUCUGAGAGGACGAUCAGCCACAAUGGGACUGAGACACGGCCCAUACCCCUACGGGGGGCAGCAGUGGGGAAUCUUGCGCAAUGGACGAAAGUCUGACGCAGCGAUCUCGCGUGAAGGAUGAAGCUUUGCGGAGUGUAAACUUCUUUUCUGGGAGAAAACGACUGAUGGUAUCUCAGGAAUAAGGAACGGCUAACUACGUG
rnacentral:rRNA from 1 species